rnacentral:rRNA from 1 species
UACAGAGGUCCCAAGCGUUGUUCGGAUUCAUUGGGCGUAAAGGGUGUGUAGGUGGCGCGCUAAGUCGGGUGUGAAAUUUCGGAGCUUAACUCCGAAACUGCAUUCGAUACUGGCGUGCUUGAGGACUGGAGAGGAGACUGGAAUUCAUGGUGUAGCAGUGAAAUGCGUAGAGAUCAUGAGGAAGACCAGUGGCGAAGGCGGGUCUCUGGGCCGAUACUGACGCUGAGGAGCGAAAGCGUGGGGAGCGAACAGG